ACCAAACCGGAUGAAGUCUUCCGCGUUGUCCGUCCCUCGUCGUCUGUGGACAGAGUGAAGCGAUGAGGAGUGGUGGUUGGGUGCAGCCGUGGAGAGGUCAGAGGUCCGUCAUUCCCUACCUCGUUGUCGGCCGAGGGGGCAGAGAAGCCUGGAUCCUCGCGGGAGAGGAGGGAGCUCAGGGAUGGUCCGAUGCGGAAAAUUAAUGGAGAGAGAGGGGGAAAGUAGGCAGAUGGGCUGGGGUGGGGUGGGAUCCUCGCGGGAGAAUGCUAUUGCUAGCCAUGACGAAAAAAUGUAGAAUCUGAAGGAGCAAGCUAUUGGAUGUCGACUCGGCGGCGGGGGACACUGGAUCGACCACCGCCGGCGCCGGGAUCGUUUGGCGGCAGGCAAGAUCCGAGGUCGACGCGGCUUGCAACACAGAGGACAAGACGCUGCUGCGUGUGGCAGCUGAAAUCUUCAGUAAAAAGAAGGGAUGGGCGCCGAUGGUGUUUAGACUUGAAGGUUAAAUGACGAGAAAAAGAAAAGAGAAGAGAUGAUAAAACUUGAGAUGAAAGAGUAAUGGUAGGAAUAACAAAAAAGUAGACACUAGGCCAAGCUUGAUGUUCUGUCUUGGAAUAGAGUUGGGUUAUGUAUUUGGUCUUUGGGUACCUGUUUUGUAAUGUUCCUGGAAGUUGGAAAAGGAGUUUGUAGUAGAAGGUCUGUUUUCUAUCCCCUGAGAAGCAAAGGUUCUGAAGUUUGUUAAUCCGGUAGGUGCUCUGUGGGUGAAUUUCUGGGAGGUUGGAACUUCAAACGUGGUUGUUUAUCUGGUUUCAUUUUCCAUUAAUGAAAUCGGGGACUAUGUCUUUAAUUCGAAAAAAUCAAGCAUCGAAGCCAAACUAGGCACUCGUUCUCUCCCCUAAGCACCCGGUGUUUCCAGCGUGGCAAAAUAAACCCGGUUUUCUUCUUACUGGGAGGGCUGUGCCGGCGGUGUUCAGGACAUCUCCACCUCACCAAGCUGUUGCCCCUGGUCAUCUUCUUCUCAAACCUUUUCAGCAUGCCUGCAACGAACAGGCAGAGAAGGUUAUCGCUGGCCAUCUCAGGUACACAAAAAUUCUAAACUUAAGUUGGUGUUUUAUUCGAGAUUAGAUUCUUACGUUGAUUAGCUUAAGGCUAAUAAUGUCUAACAUAUACUACAGUUUUAAUUUAUUUUCUAUGGCCACACAAUUUGAUGUUUGCUGAGAAAAUUAGCUCCAGGUAAAGAAGAAACAAAAAAAAGGCUUUGCGCCAUAUUAUUUGUUGAGAUAACAGAAUUGAAGAUCAUAUCAGUUUCCAAAGCUAGUUUUCGAAGGAAAUUUGUCGAGUCUCCCACUAUGUUCUUGACAUUAUAUGAGGCAUGCCGUCUUCUUGCGCAUGAUAAUCAAUCGUCAACCUUUUUUCGAGGUAGCAAUUGAACCAAAUAUAGACAAUCUUUCUGAAAAUAUUCAUCAUUGUAUUAUUUUACAUGAUUACAAAUUACAAUGGCCCCUUUUCUGUUAAUUACAGACUGUACAAAAUUGAACUAACUGACCUAAGAAAACUGUUAGCUUCCUAAGAGUGAAACUACUUAUACUGAUCAGUAUAUUGUCUCCUCAUUUACUUUCGCCCAUGCCGGAAUGCCAUCACUUUGCAGCAAGCUGAAGCAAAGCUGACUCUGUUUUGAGGCGGCUUCUAUCAUCUUCUUUGGAAGUUAAAGACUUUGAUGGAGAAGGCAAAGACAAAAGCAAAGAGAACGGUGAAGCCUACAACACCAAUAGCCAUAAAACCUACGUAAUCGUGCCUGAAUCCAAAGAAUCUGUUGAUGAAAGCAUCCACCGCUUCUCCAUCCUCCAGCCUAACAUCUGCUAUAUCUCCAUACUGUGAAGCGACAAGUCCGUACAGAGUCCAUGCCACCGGACAUGCCCAGGAGUACCAUCUCCACCAUAUUGGUAUCCUCUGCAAGCCAGCCAUAUAAUUUAGCAUUGGUGGUAUGGAGGAAAUGUAGAGUCUGUUUCAUAGUAGAAAUGAACUAGUCGUGGACACUUACUGGUCGGGGGACAAGGAAGCCAGCAAAGAUAUUCCAUACUGCAUAGAAUGCAGUUGCAACUAUGGCAGCAAUGUCACUGUUUGGUGUCAUGGCGACUGCCAUCAUGCCAUAAAACGUGAAGUACAGGAAGGUGAAGAACAUGAAGAACAUGUACCAAAAGAAUUUCAUAAAUGCCCAGUCUAAACCAAUCAAGCUGUAGACAAUCAGACCAUACACAAGGGUCUGAAGGAAGACAUGUGGGAUCUCAAUGAAAACCUGUUGAAUGGUUAACAUGGUUGGAACUUAGACAUGAAUUGGAGGAAGAAACCUGCAAUCUUUUAUAUUAAAAUGUUGUGGCGACUAUUACCUGUGCAAAAGCAUAGGGUAGAGCAGAGUACAUCCCGGCAGCCUUUUCUCGGUAGAAGACUGUCCUUUCGACGUCUACAAUCGGUUGAACGCAUUGUCCAUUCUGAAUUCCAAUGAAAAUGACUGCUGCAUACAUGGAACCCAGAGAGUUGAACAGGAAGAUAGUGCCGAAGAUGAGGGCAAUAACCAUCGUGAAGAAUAUUCUAGUCGCAGUGUAUGAUGGAUUUCUCCAGUAUGACUUGUGCUGCUUCCACAGGCAAGCAAUACAUUGUGUGAAGAAGGACUGUGCGUACUGGUUUGGG